GAUAAGGUGGCCGAGUUUAAGCAAUAAAUUGUAAAUUUAUUCACGAAAUUAAAAAUUUCCCUUAUCA
rnacentral:tRNA from 1 species